rnacentral:rRNA from 1 species
UACGUAGGGUGCAAGCGUUGUCCGGAAUUAUUGGGCGUAAAGAGCUCGUAGGCGGUUUGUUGCGUCGGCUGUGAAAACCCGGGGGCUCAACCCCCGGGCCUGCAGCCGAUACGGGCAGACUAGAGUUCGGCAGGGGGAGACUGGAAUUCCUGGUGUAGCGGUGAAAUGCGCAGAUAUCAGGAGGAACACCGGUGGCGAAGGCGGGGUCUCUGGGGCCGAUACUGACGCUGAGGAGCGAAAAGCGUGGGGGGAGCGAACAGGG